rnacentral:rRNA from 1 species
UAUGNAAAGAACUAGGCGUGAAUUAAGGCUGCAAGUCGAGCGAGAAGCCUGCUUCGGCAGGCGGACAGCGGCGAAAGGGACAGUAAUGUGUAGGUACCUACCCCUGGGUUCGGGAUAGCUGCGGGAAACUGCAGGUAAUACCGAAUAAUGUCUCCGGACCAAAGGUGUGAUUCCACCUGGGGAGGGGCCUGCAUCCUAUUAGCUUGUUGGUGGGGUAACGGCCUACCAAGGCAACGAUGGGUAGCGGGUGUGAGAGCAUGACCCGCGUCAUUGGGACUGAGACACUGCCCAGACACCUACGGGUGGCUGCAGUCGAGAAUCUUCGGCAAUGGGCGAAAGCCUGACCGAGCGACGCCGCGUGCGGGAUGAAGGCCCUCGGGUUGUAAACCGCUGUCGUAGAGGAGGAAGUGCAGGGGGGUUCUCCCCUUUGCUUGACCUAUUCUAGGAGGAAGUACGGGCUAAGUUCGUGCCAGCAGCCGCGGUAAGACGAACCGUACAAACGUUACUCGGAAUUACUGGGCUUAAAGGGUGCGUAGGCUGCGCGGAAAGUUGGGUGUGAAAGCCCUCGGCUCAACCGAGGAAUUGCAUCCAAAACUACCGUGCUCGAGGGAGACAGAGGGUAAGCGAACUCAAGGUGGAGCGGUGAAAUGCGUUGAUAUCUUUGAGAACACCGGUGG